CAUGCAAGUCGAACGAAACUUAGUGAACCUCGGUUUGCUAAGUUUAGUGGCGCACGGGUGCGUAACGCGUGGGAAUCUACCCCUAGCUGCGGAAUAACUCAGAGAAAUUUGAGCUAAUACCGCAUAAUGUCGCAAGACCAAAGAUUUAUCGGCAAGGGAUGAGCCCGCGUAAGAUUAGCUUGUUGGUGAGGUAAAAGCUCACCAAGGCGACGAUCUUUAGCUGGUCUGAGAGGAUGAUCAGCCACGCUGGGACUGAGACACGGCCCAGACUCCUACGGGAGGCAGCAGUGGGGAAUAUUGGACAAUGGGCGCAAGCCUGAUCCAGCAAUGCCGCGUGAGUGAUGAAGGCCCUAGGGUUGUAAAGCUCUUUUACUAGGGAUGAUAAUGACAGUACCUAGAGAAUAAGCUCCGGCUAACUCCGUGCCAGCAGCCGCGGUAAUACGGAGGGAGCUAGCGUUGUUCGGAAUUACUGGGCGUAAAGCGCGCGUAGGCGGCUCGUCAAGUCAGGGGUGAAAGCCCGGGGCUCAACCCCGGAACUGCCUUUGAAACUAGCGAGCUAGAAUCUUGUAGAGGUUAGCGGAAUUCCGAGUGUAGAGGUGA
rnacentral:rRNA from 1 species